rnacentral:rRNA from 1 species
GAUGAACGCUGGCGGCGUGCCUAAUACAUGCAAGUCGAGCGAACAGACGAGGAGCUUGCUCCUCUAACGUUAGCGGCUGACGGGUGAGUAACACAUGGAUAACCUACCUAUAAGACUUGGAUAACUUCGGGAAACCGGAGCUAAUACCGGAUAAUAUAUUCAACCGCAUGGUUCAAUAGUUAAAGACGGUUUUGCCGUUACUUUUAGAUGAAUCCGCGUCGGAUUAGCUAGUUGGUAAGGUAACGGCUUACCAAGGCAACGAUGCGUAGCCGACCUGAGAGGGUGAUCAGCCACACUGGAACUGAGACACGGUCCAGACUCCUACGGGAGGCAGCAGUAGGGAAUCUUCGACAAUGGGCGAAAGCCUGACGGAGCAACGCCGCGUGAGUGAAGAAGGUCUUCGGAUCGUAAAACUCUGUUAUUAGGAAAGAAAAACUGUGGAAGUAUCCAUCGCCGUUUUGACGGUACCUAAACAGAAAGCAACGGCUAACUACGUG